GGGUGUGAUCAUACCUGCGCUAAUGUGCCGGAUCCCAUCAAAACUCCGCAGUUAAGCGCGCUUGGGGAUGAGUAGUACUUGGAUGGGUGACCUCUCGGGAAGUCCUAGUGUUGCACCCU
rnacentral:rRNA from 1 species